CUCUAACCAUGUAACAGAUGAAUCAGGCCGCUAUAUAAUACUACAAGGCUUGAUAGGAACCUCUCCAAUCACUCUAGUUGGGAUCUAUCUCCCAAAUAAACACCAAUGUGGUGCCUUUCGGAGAAUUUUGACGAAAGUUAAGCAAAACUCCAAUGGAACUCUAAUAAUCGGGGGGGACUUUAACAUUUCACUAGACGCCUCUAAGGACAGUACCUCAAACAAAACCCAACAUUUAGCAUCGGCAAGACACCAAAUGCAACAUAUUCUCCAUACCAACCAACUGGUAGACUGUUGGAGGGUCUUUCACCCGACAACAAAAG